rnacentral:rRNA from 1 species
AGGGCACCACCAGGAGUGGAGCCUGCGGCUUAAUUUGACUCAACACGGGAAAACUCACCCGGCCCGGACACCGUAAGGAUUGACAGACUGAGAGCUCUUUCUUAAUUCGGUGGGUGGUGGUGCAUGGCCGUUCUUAGUUGGUGGAGCGAUUUGUCUGGUUUAUUCCGAUAACGAACGAGACUCUAGCCUACUAAAUAGUGACUGGAUUGCUUCUGUCCAGAAUACUUCUUAGAGGGACAAGUGGUGUUCAGCCACACGAAAUUGAGCAAUAACAGGUCUGUGAUGCCCCUAGAUGUCCGGGGCUGCACGCGCGCUACACUGGAGAAAUCAGCGUGCUAUACCAUUGUCGAAAGUCAUUGGUAAACCGAUCAAAAUUCUCCGUGAUCGGGAUCGGGAAUUGCAAUUAUUUCCCUUGAACGAGGAAUUCCCAGUAAGUGUGGGUCAUCAGCUCACGUUGAUUACGUCCCUGCCCUUUGUACACACCGCCCGUCGCUGCCCGGGACUGAGCCGUUUCGAGAA